rnacentral:lncRNA from 1 species
UUUAAUUUAACAUUGGUUAUAUGUUAAAGGGUAAAAUCGUCCCAUCACUUUCUAUCAAACAUCAAACAUUAAAACUAAGCAAAAAUCCUCAAAAACUUUAACCAUCAGAAUCGUUCGGAAGAGACUCAACGAAAUCCCCAAAUUCGAUCGACAAAAACCUUAGGUCGAAGAAUCAAAAAUUGCGCAACGACUCUAUACCUUUUCAGUCGAUCGGCGUUGAUAAUGUGCUUUGAAUAUAAAAGUACUAGUUUAAGAGAUUCACCUGGUUCGUUCAAAUCUAAUUUGAUCUUUGAGUUUCUAUUUUUGUUAUGUUUAUGUGUUGAGUUUUAACAAUUUGUAUUAUUAAUCACAGAGGAAGAUGGACAUAUGGACUUACAAGUAUCGGUUAGAUUACGGAGCCGGAUAAUAAAGAAAGAUCGAGAACGGGAUCGGGAUGGGGACGGGGACGGGGACGGGGACGGGGACGGGGACGGGGACGGGGAGAGAGAGCGGUCGAUUGGGUAGGAGUAAUUAGAGGAAAAGGGAGAGGUUGAU